AGGGUGAGGGUGAGGGUGAGGGUGGGAGUGGGGGUGAGGGUGUCAUAUUAUCAUAUGCCUGCUUAGACUAUAAUUUACACCUCUAAGGAGACAAAUUGGAUGGAUCAAAACUAUAUCAAAACACACUUUAUUCACAAUGUCUACAGUAAGUGCGAAAAACCACCCGCUCCACCACCAAAGUAACUUUCAUGGAAUCCGAAACGUCCCAUUCUGGUAAAAGCAAAUCCUUCUCCGCCACAGACGUCAAUGCCUACUUUUCUUAAUAAUCUGUACAUUGAAUAAUAGCAGAUAGCGGAACAUUGAACAUGCUGUGUCUGAGUCAAAACUCGGGACUGGACAGUUGAUAACUUUCUUAUCAUCUUAGACGAAUUCCAUGGGCCUAGUUAACCUUUACCAAACCUUAUGAAUAAAGUCGAGCUAAAGCACGAAAAAGUUGCCGAUAUUUGUUUGAUGAAGCACCUUUGGACUCCUAUCUAGUCCAUGAGAAGCCACCAUAUGAGUUAAGGCUGCAUAGCGUUCCUCAUUUAGGUACAAUGGCUUUCCACGAUUCAUUCCAGAAUCCUCUUCACCAAAUGCAUCUAAGUAUGGGGAAGGCCAUGAUGCCUGACGAGCAGAUCUUUGAAGUAACACUGUCGUUUUUUUGAUUAAUAAGAACACCCCAGUACCCGCUCCACAUGCCAUUGCAUGUGUUUGGCACCCACUUUCCCUGCAGCAUGGCUUCCAAUUCGGAGAGCAGAGUCUACCACACAAUAAGCACAAUGCCGGCUCCUCCAAAACAACUCCACAGUCUGGACAAUUUUGUUUAAUAUACCUCUGUAGGAGGUCCUGGUAAAGAUGAGGCAAAAGCAUCAGUUUAAAUGGAACUGCAGGGCUAGAAUACAUAGCACCAUUCAACAUGCGAGCUUCAAACUGCUUGGAGAAACGACGCAGCCAACUUGGAACCACAAAACGUACUGUUUCAUCACUAAUAACAUCAUCAAGUGGGGGAAUCUUAAAUAACUUCUCCAACUUUUCAAUCUCAUUGAACUCAACUGGUAUGUUUCCCCCACAUUCCAUUGUUUCACCCAUUGAAUAUGGUAAUCCAUCUAAUAUGUUACUGCCGCCACUAAAUGGUGCUGAUACAGAAGAACGAACCAAUUUCCACAACAAUGCGCAUCUUCUUAAAUAAGGAAAACUCAGGCUACGGAUUGCAUCUUUGACAUCAUGUGUUUCAAUAUGAUUAGAAUCAAAAUCUUUGUAAGCCACUCCAUUUUCCGCAAUUAUUCUAUAGAUGUCAGUAACUAGAGAAUCACUACAUCCUGACAUAGAUAAACUACUUUGAAGCUUUCUACUAUAGGUAAUUACAAUCUGAGUAAUAGUGACAACAUAGAAAAGAUGAACAAGACACAGGAAUGAUUUCUCGCACGACAAAAAUUGGCAUGGGAGGCAAUAUAACACCCACGUUAAUGAUGAAAAAGCAUCAUGUGCAAGAACUGGAUCAGAGCAUCGUUUCCAGAACUGAAUAUCAGGGUACUGUAAUUCCGUCUCAGAAAAUUCCAAGAUGUCUUGCAUAUUACCUCCAACAAUAGGACUAUCUGGAUACUCAUCUGCAGAAAUGUCUGAGCAUAUAGACUUCACAAACAGCUGAAUUCCUCUUAACCUCAACAGGACAGUAAGUGAGUCCUUUGACCGUGUGCUUUGUACAAUGCUUAGUAAUAAGGCUAAUAUAAAACAGUUUGUAGAUUUGAGUUCUUUGUACAGAGCACCAAGGCUGUAGUUUGGAGCUAAAGAAGUAUUCCCAGAUCGAGCAGCAAUUUCUGUCGAUAUAAGGGAGUACUUGAGUGUGUCAAACAAAAUCAGAGAGUGACUAAGCCUACCAGAUUCUGAAAUCUUAUCCUUGUCCGGAAAAUACAUUUCACACAAUAUCCGAACCACAUAAUCAAGAUUUACUCUCAUCUGCCCGAAUUGCUGCACUGGAAGACUCUGUAAAAUCUCUCUACUUCCAGCAACAUCAGCUGCACUUUGCAGGAGAAAUAAAACUUCUUGAAAACGAAGCGUUGGAAGGCCUACAGCAUCUGAUGGAUCAGUUGAAAGAGACGGUGUUGACCUUUUAGUUUCGGCAGGUAAUGCUGGCAGAACUGAGUUAGCAAGUCCACGGCAUACAGGACAGAGAAACUCCCCCUGAUCAGGAUCAACAAUAUGACCCCCUUCGAAAACAAUUUGUCUGGUAUAUCUUUCCUUUAGUGAAGAUAAAUAGCGGUCAAGACAUCCCUGAUGCACA
rnacentral:misc_RNA from 1 species